GACGAACGCUGGCGGCGUGCUUAACACAUGCAAGUCGAACGGAAAGGCCCUGCUUUUGUGGGGUGCUCGAGUGGCGAACGGGUGAGUAACACGUGAGUAACCUGCCCUUGACUUUGGGAUAACUUCAGGAAACUGGGGCUAAUACCGGAUAGGAGCUCCUGCUGCAUGGUGGGGGUUGGAAAGUUUCGGCGGUUGGGGAUGGACUCGCGGCUUAUCAGCUUGUUGGUGGGGUAGUGGCUUACCAAGGCUUUGACGGGUAGCCGGCGUGAGAGGGUGACCGGCGACAUUGGGACUGAGAUACGGCCCAGACUCCUACGGGAGGCAGCAGUGGGGAAUAUUGCACAAUGGGCGGAAGCCUGAUGCAGCAACGCCGCGUGCGGGAUGACGGCCUUCGGGGUGUAAACCGCUUUCGCCUGUGACGAAGCGUGAGUGACGGUAAUGGGUAAAGAAGCACCGGCUAACUACGUG
rnacentral:rRNA from 1 species